GGGGCGGAGCGCCGCGGGCCAGGGGCGGAGAGAGGCGGGUGCGCGUGCGCACUGUGCGCGAGGAUGCGCGUGGUCGUGCUGCUUGCGGCCGCUGCUGCCGCCGCCGCGUACCGGAGCGGUGCUGUGGCGGUUCCUUGGCGCGUGUCUCGCGCCUCUUUGUUUCCCGCCCUUUCCAGGCACGCGACGCGCUGCUGAGGAGAGUGCAGCGCGCUGCGCUGACUCCUGACCCCUGCUUCAAGUGUACUUCUGCGGGGUUUCUUUUAGUAAAAACAACAGAGAUCAGGCUUUUUCCUCCUGCCCCUUCGUUUUCAGCUGUCUGCUUACCUGUUGUUGCCUCGCAGCGCUCGCAGGUCAUGAAUCCAGGAAGCACCACAACAAGAGAAGAUAACCAUGAAACCCCUGGAGAUGGAAAUGUCAUUGCUUCUAGGCCUUGUUUCUGUUGCUGUUACAAAUCAGACUGCUGCCAAGAGGCGAUCCAGGUGCUGCAAGAGAAGCAGCUUAAAUCACCAGAGCAACCUCAGUGUCCAAAGUGGAAGAACUCAAGGGAGAAUUUGUAUCACAAGGUGACCCUGAGGAACAGCAAGCAUUGUGGAAAAAAAGGAAUGAAACUCAGCCUUCAGGAUGACAGGAGGGGGUGAGAUUCACUUCUCUAUCUUGAAAUAAUAAUGGAAUAAUCAUGAUGACACAGAUGACAAGAGACCUCAAUUUUCCAUGCCACUUGCAUAAAGAUGCCUGAAGAUCUUGAUGUGAGCCAGAAUUGCUGGUCUGCUGCAAGAAUCCUCACUGCCACUGCAAGCUUAAGUAAGAUUUUGGAUCUGGGAAUUUCUGGGGGUUUCUUCCCAUAUUCCUGGCAGCUCUGAAAAGUUACUGCAUUUUUUCAAAUGUCACUGAACAAACAAACAUGUAUUGCUAAAGUUCUUUGAGUGAACAGCAGGACGCAGAGCAACAGAUAAUAUCAAAGAGACUGGGUAAAUUCCACCUUCUGCUCCAAGGGCCGUCAUAGGACAGCCUCAAAUCACACAGGAAAAAUAACCAAUCUCAGCUAAUCCCAGCUUCAUAGCACAGUCAAUAAAAGCCAUGCUCUGUCAGACUGCAAUGUCUUUAUUAUUUCAUGUGGCUAGUCAAUGCAGAUGAAUUACUUGUGAGGACAUGGUGGGAAUGGAUUGGGUUGUUUCCUGUCUAUUUCAUUUCUGGUUGAAUUAAUGACUGAUAAAAAACAAGGAAAAGUCUGAAGGCUAUAGGAUUUCAUCGCUUUCUUUUUUGAAUUAUAGUCUAUUAUCUACAGGCUCCACCUAACACAGAUAGCCUUGGACUUCAGUAAGGGGGAAGGAGGGGAAUUGUCUGUUAAUGCAGGCAGGGAGGCAGAGUGCUGAAAUUUGAGAUUCAUGAAGUCUAGUUUUAUUACUUUGAAUAAAUCUUAAUAAGGACAUAAAAAUUAUUAGGAAACGCCUCAGAAUGUGUUUUCAACCAGUGGAUCAGCAGGAGAUGAAAAUAAUGAAUAUAUUAUGAGCUGUAAAAUUAUGUAACUUGUAAAAAAGUAUUUUUAGGAAACUUUAAUAAUGAAAUAUGUAAAAGCUUAAGUUGAAGAGUGUGGGCCGAGCUUUUGAAGAUGUCUAACAAAUGAAUACUUCAGUCUGCCUGGAGCCUAAGGAAGGGGCAGGGAUGGCUGAGCAGUGCUGUGAGUUGCAGCCUGGGCUCUGUGCGGCACUCAGGUGGUAGGGGAGAGCUCAGAUGUCCCUGACCAGCAACCAGCAAGGGGCAGGAAUGCAUUGAGCCCCAUAGAUCCAGGAGCUCUGUAGAACUACUGAAGCGCCUCAUUCACAGGGACUGCAGCCAGAUUAAGUCCAUGAUCAAACAAAAAUGUCACAAAAUGCUUGCCUCAGCAAAGCAGGGAAGAGAAGAAACGGAAGGAGUGUACAUAUACAUAAGCAUAGCAAAGCAAAAGUGUUUUUACUUUUGUGUCAUUGGGUGUCUCACUUAUCCCAGCACGUGGGUCAAUCCAGCAGCCAGCAGAUGGUUUUUGAGUCACAGUAGUAGUGAAAGUCUUAACUUUCAUAUGGGAACUAACAUAAAUAAAGACUGAUCAUCAGAUGUAAAGUGAGUUCUUGGACACCUGAUCAUGUACUUUGACAGGCUGUACAUAUGGACAGAAACAGUAGCCACAAAAGCCACGAAACUCUUGUCAUGCCUUGCUGCUAACGGAAGAUUUAGAAAAGGAGGGAAGUGUGGAGGUACAUGUCAUUGACUUCCCAUUUUUGCAAUGAAAGCUCUGUAAAUAGUUGCUUUAACCUAAGAUCUAAAAUUCUUAGAGGGUACAUUAAAGACAGAACUUAUGGGACACUAUGCUAUCUAAAUAAAUCCAGUAUUUUCCAACAAUGCAAAAACUCAAGAGCGAACUGUGAACACUGAUUUUCUCCAUCCCAGUCCAACUUCUAUGCUUCAGAGCUCUGUUUUAGAUUAGGUUUAGAACUGGAAAGUCUCCAUGAGAAAGAGCAGAUGACUGAGGCACGGAUUCUGCCAGAUGCUGAUUUAGUCUGGACCCAAUCCAGAAAAGCACUUUAGCUUCACACUUAACUUUAAGCAUGCAAAUAGCCCAAGAAUUAUCAUAUGCUUAAAGGUACCCCAGGAUCUGAGCUGCAGCAUUCAGCACACUGCAGUUUUGAGCACUAAUUGAUCUGAGUCAGCCACCUUGGAACACAUGCAGCUGCAAAACUGCUCUUACAGCCACAGACUUGUGCAAGUGCAACAAGGGUAAAACAACAGAGCCAGAGCCCAGCAUCUUCUCCAAGGGUAGCCAAUUGUCUGUCUGUGAAUCUAGAGCAGAACAGCUUUGGUAGCUUCUCAGGGAUCAGCAUGGCCAUGUGUAACCAGUAUCACUCGGUAGCAUUGCAGGUGCCUGGGAGGCAUUUAGCAGAUUAAUUGCUGAGAUCUUUGCAUCUCAUUUGAGAAGCGUGCCCCAGUACUGUCUGCUUGAAGGUGAAGUGGGCAGGGGUGUGCAGAAGGAAGGAGAUGUUCCUGCCCUUCUCAGCUCAGCAGCAUGGCUGGGGACCCCAGUGGGUGAGGAAGUGCCCGUGCUUCAAGUUGAGGCAGGAAGGUGCUACAGGCACCCUGACACUCACCAUCAGGGCAGCUACCCCUGGCCAUGGCUGGCCUCUUGAAUCAUGCAGCUGCUUAGCUCCUGCUGCUGGAAGAGUGGCCAAGGCUGGCAGUACAAAGUACUCUCCAAGUGCUAAGCAUUCUAAUCAACCUGGCAUCCUGUCAGCUGUGUGUGCUUCACAGGACCCCUCUUGCUCUGAACUGCUCUUAGACUUCCUCAGUACUGAAGGAGACAGAGGUUUUUGACCCAAAAUUCUUUGGAGCGUUUUAAAUGGGGUAAGUGACAUCAUUGUCAGAAUCCCAGCAUUUAUAAACAGCAGAGAGCUAAAAAUGAUCCCAGGGCCGUGGAAUUCUAAGCAUGCAAACAACCAGCAGCAGCUUGGGAACCGUGGGCAGAAUGCUGUGUAUGAUUGCAGCAUCCCUCCAUAAAGCUCCCUGCUAUUCCAAGGGAUCGCACUCAGAUUGCAUCAGAC